AUCAUUAGGUUCUCAUAAGGACUGUGCCACCUGAGCAUGAUGAUUGGGUGAUCACGUGCAUGUGUGAGAUCUGCCACCCUUGAACCUUGUUAUGACGUUAGCACAUUACCCAUCUGACU
ensembl:snoRNA